UUCUAAUGAGAAAGGACAGACCUGGCUUUGGCACUUAACUCCAGGACAUGGUUCAAAGCUGUGAAUGCUGAGUGGAGAUUGGUGCCUAAACUACUCUCCUCGCCAUCUCCUAUUGGCUAACUUAGGCUCCUGGCUUCAGGAAAUCCCAUUUUGAGCAUCUAACCCUCUUCAUGCAUCAUAUAGGAGCCUAGGCACCCAGCUCAAGGCUGAGGAUUUAAUUGGGCAGCAGGCACGUAAAAGUUAGGUGUUGUGACGCCUAAAUUGCUUUGUGGAUCUAACCCCAACAUCCUUGAAGCCUGACUGAUGUCUGUACAGUUGGGGGAAAUAAUAGGCCCAGUCCUGCAGUCCUUACUAGGGAUUCAACUCAGGAGGGAAGAAACACAUCAUCUGUGCUGGCUGGUUUUCACCCGAUUUGGCACACUGAGGGUUUGGAUGCACGUGAUUUUUGGUGCAAUUUCCAGUGAGAUCAAAUU